rnacentral:lncRNA from 1 species
GGCCGUAUCCAUCAAGAACUCUCUCUCCGGUGCUCCAAAUAUGGCAAAUGAUAUGUCUGUCUUGAUCAUCUUGAUGAGCUCUCCACAAUGGUGUACUCAGAUUCUUCACUUGACAUACUUUUAUAUGGUAAAAUAUUAGAUAUCCUACAAGACAAGUGAGAUCAACACAACUCGUGGAACUCGUUACAAUUAACACCUAUAACUUUACUCUAUGAGCAAUUUUAGAUCUCUCCUUAGGUUAGUUAACGGUUGAAAAUUGGAGUUAAUUACCAUCAACAAACUCCCCCAAGCUUAUCCUUUGCUAGUCCCUUAGCAAACAAUAGUUGGUUGAAUAAGAUGGAUCAG